rnacentral:rRNA from 1 species
UACGUAGGGUGCAAGCGUUAUCCGGAAUUAUUGGGCGUAAAGAGCUCGUAGGCGGUUUGUCGCGUCUGCUGUGAAAACUGGGGGCUCAACCCCCAGCCUGCAGUGGGUACGGGCAGACUAGAGUGCGGUAGGGGGAGAUUGGAAUUCCUGGUGUAGCGGUGGAAUGCGCAGAUAUCAGGAGGAACACCGACGGCGAAGGCAGAUCUCUGGGCCGUAACUGACGCUGAGGAGCGAAAGCAUGGGGGAGCGAACAGG